rnacentral:rRNA from 1 species
UACGUAGGGUGCGAGCGUUAAUCGGAAUUACUGGGCGUAAAGCGCACGUAGGCGGCUAUUCAAGUCGGGGGUGAAAGCCCGGGGCUCAACCCCGGAACUGCCCUCGAAACUAGAUAGCUAGAAUCUUGGAGAGGCGAGUGGAAUUCCGAGUGUAGAGGUGAAAUUCGUAGAUAUUCGGAAGAACACCAGUGGCGAAGGCGACUCGCUGGACAAGUAUUGACGCUGAGGUGCGAAAGCGUGGGGAGCAAACAGG